AAAUUGAAUAUCAACCGCGGUGCCGCUGACAACAUUUUACUCGUGGUUCUACUGUCUGAGCGGAUUAUUGUAAACAUGGAUAUUUAACAAAAGUUGGAUUAAGUGUGCAGGAACGGCUUAUCAUAAGUGUUAUUCCUAUGGUGCAUUAAAGAGAAAAAACUUUCAAGAAGGAAGCUGCCAGGCAGUAUGCAAUUAAAGACACAGUGAGAUCCACGUGUAGCUGUGAGACCCCUGGGGGUGACAUCGAUAUAUUGAAUAUAUAGCUUUACCCGUAUUGAAUUUACAUCACAGGAAGCAUCAGACACACCGAAUAUUCAUUGACAGAGGAAUGCUCAAAAUGCAGAACUCGACAAAUAUGACAGAAUUCACAGACGACGAGUAUAAGGAUUUUUAUGAGAGAUCGCAAUUCAUUUGUGGAAUGAUACUGUAUCCCGUCAUUUGUAUUCCCGGGUUGAUCGGAAACGCACUCUCCUUGAUAGUGCUGUCCAUGAAAAACAUGAAAACGUCAACGAACGCCUUCCUCGUCGCCCUUGCGAUUUCGGAUUCCAUAAAACUCAUCAACGACCUGAUUUACUUUAUAGUUUUAGUUCUACAGAGGACAAACCCGGCUGCGGCUGAUAUUGCAUACGUGAACAUCUACCCGUACGCACACUUUAUCUUCAACAUUUCUACUUGCGUUUCUUCGUGGUUAACGGUUUCCGUUGCAACAGAAAGGUUCAUACUGGUCUGUUACCCAAUCAAAGCAAAAACUGUCUGCACUAGAUUACGUGCCAUUGUUAUAAGUUUCAUAAUCUAUUUAGUGAUGAUUUCCAUUUCGUUACCUUGCGCUUUUCGAUAUGAAAAAACCAAAGAAAUUGUAGACAAUGUUACGAAAUGGGAUUUGAAGCUGACGGAUUUGUGGAACAAUGAAGAUUUCUUGUUGUAUUACACGUGGUCACUGAACUUUCUUAGAAGUAUUAUCGUUUUGAUCAUUCUCAUCAUACUUAAUGUAUGUAUUAUAUUUUCCCUUCGGAAAAUGCGCGCAAAUAAGAAAAACACUCAGAGGAACCGAGUCACGUUAAUGAUGAUCGUGAUCAUCAUGGUGUUUGUAAUCUGCAUUCUUCCGGACGCUAUCAUGUCCGUGCUCCGUCACGGCUACUACGAGGGCACCUAUUUGCAGAGGGGGAUCCGUGAGUUUUCAGACACACUUUUGACCAUAAAUGCUGCCGUAAAUUUCCUUAUAUAUUGCGUCUUCAGUAGAACAUUUAGGCAGAACUUUGCAGUUCUGUUGCCUGUUUGUCAGUUAAAGACAACGGGUGAAAGUAACCAACAGUUAUACAAGAAAGUGAACAGCAAAGAAACAACGGUCCGCGAUGCUCAAUCGGUGUAAACAAUCGGUGUAAACAAUCGGUGUAAACAAUCGAUGGAGAUUUUACCGGAUGGGAAAAUUUUACUGCCUUACACGGAAUCGUAGUCAAACACUAAUUAGUGCCAUUGAGCGAUUAGAAUUGGUGCUCCCUGUGGCAAUAUGCAGGCUGGAAUGGAGACAAGAAUGUCGUUGAACUUUGACAAUGGUGUUCAGGCAUUUGCUAAGUAAAUGUUUACUAAGAUUUUUGUUUUUUGCUUAUGUUACUUUUUCUGCGUGAGCCCGACUUUGAAGUUUGUUGCUUACAUGAUAUCACUAAGAAAGUAAUAAAACGCUACAUUUACAACACACAGAAUAAACGUCUGGUAAAUCAAUUUGACAACGAUGUCCUGAGAUCAAAGUGGAAUAUACACUGAUCCAGAUAACUGAUACAGAUAACUGCGACAUAUCGAAACGACAAUCGGGAUACUCAACAUUAAAGUAAAACUAGAUCAAGAAAGAAAGAUAGGCACGUCACGUGUUCAAUAAUUCGCUUUUGGGAUAAAAAUCAAAUAUUUUGAUUCAUUUUGAUUUGAUUCUCGAAUUAUAUCAAUCGUUACUUUUCGCAUAUUGAUACAAAGAGCAAACUUCUAGGCCGUGAUUUAUUUUGGGGGACAAAAGUCCCUUUUAAGUAUUAUCUAUUUUAUAAUCGUUUGAAAAUUCUGCUUUUCAUUCGACCGAGCCGUUGGUCGUUUGCAUUUGUCAUUUUACACAAUAUAUAAUGUAAAUGAAAUGUUGUUUAUAGAUUUUAUCAAAUGCAAUCAAUUCAUAAUUGCAAUCCACUUCGACUUCAUCUUAAAAUGUCUGUUUGUAUAAUGAAUGUGGAAAGGUUUAUCAAUGUAUUGCUUUAUACUUAUAUAAUUCAUUGAUAUAUUUGCAAGUGCCUCAUCAAAUUUUAAUAUAUAUCGAGAGCGACACAGCCGCAUUAUCAGAGUGCAAAUUCUGUGACGUUGAAAUGGACUUUUGUGUUCGCACAAUAGACUUUAUUGUGUUUAGACAUUUGGAAACUGGAAUAAAUCUUUUUAUCCAGCCAUAUUUAUAUAGAAUUGUGUAACGUCAAUUCCCGAACAGAUGAAAAGCAUUCCACGAACUAGACGAUUCCUGUUAAAUAUUUUCUUAUGUUAUCAGUGAAUGUUGAUGUAUAGAAACAAUUGCAUACACUAUUGAAGUUAAUUAAUGUGUAUAAAUACAUUACUAAUUUUAACGAAUGAAUGACAAAAAAUAGG